rnacentral:rRNA from 1 species
UAGGGAAUCUUCCACAAUGGACGAAAGUCUGAUGGAGCAACGCCGCGUGAGUGAUGAAGGGUUUCGGCUCGUAAAACUCUGUUGUUGGAGAAGAACAGGUGAUAGAGUAACUGUUAUCAUCUUGACGGUAUCCAACCAGAAAGCCACGGCUAACUACGUGCCAGCAGCCGCGGUAAUACGUAGGUGGCAAGCGUUGUCCGGAUUUAUUGGGCGUAAAGCGAGCGCAGGCGGUUUUUUAGGUCUGAUGUGAAAGCCUUCGGCUUAACCGGAGAAGGGCAUCGGAAACCGGGAGACUUGAGUGCAGAAGAGGACAGUGGAACUCCAUGUGUAGCGGCGAAAUGCGUAGAUAUAUGGAAGAACACCAGUGGCGAAGGCGGCUGUCUGGUCUGUAACUGACGCUGAGGCUCGAAAGCAUGGGUAGCGAACAGGAUUAGAUACCCUGGUAGUCCAUGCCGUAAACGAUGAGUGCUAAGUGUUGGAGGGUUUCCGCCCUUCAGUGCUGCAGCUAACGCAUUAAGCACUCCGCCUGGGGGAGUACGACCGCAAGGUUGAAAC